UACGUAGGGGGCAAGCGUUGUCCGGAUUUAUUGGGCGUAAAGAGCGUGUAGGCGGCCUGAAAGGUCAGCUGUGAAAACUCGAGGCUCAACCUCGAGACGUCGGUUGAAACCAUCUGGCUAGAGUCCGGAAGAGGAGAGUGGGAAUUCCCGGUGUAGCGGUGAAAUGCGCAGAUAUCGGGAAGAACACCCGUGGCGAAGGCGGCUCUCUGGGACGGUACUGGACGCUGAGACGCGAAAGCGUGGGGAGCGAACAGG
rnacentral:rRNA from 1 species